UCGAAAUAGUCUUGUAGUGUAGAUAUACCCUUACAUGUGCGAGCUGAACUCUGCUGGGUCCAGCAGCCCAUAGUGGUGGCCAGAAGGACUGCAGCCCAUUUCUGUUGGGGAAAGGAAAUUCUGUGUGCACAAUAAUUUCUGCUAAAUUCUGCAUUGUGCAGUGGUGCAAAAUUCCCCCAGGAGUAAGGCCUGGGUUGCAAAAGUGUAAGUGAUUUGUUUUUUAAUAAACUGUUUUGAUUAGAAUUGCUUGAAAAUGAACUCUUCUGUUACCGUUAAGUUAUUUAAAACUCUUUAUUUGUAAGAAAAAAAUUACAAUGUGUGUAUACAUAUACAUCUCCUCUGUCCUCCCGCUCCCAACAUAAACAUUCAUCAGGCUGUGUAGUAACACUAUUGUCCUUUGCAUUGAAAUCAAACAAUUAAACCCAAGAAAUAUAGCAUGAAAGGAAGGGGAUUAACUGUAAUCUACCCUCUCUGGCCAAUCCAAACCAUAAAAAUGUAUGCAAGGACUUCAGAUAAUGGGCUGUUCCCACAGGUUCUCCUUUCAGGUGUCAUUUAAAAUGUUUAAAGUUUUUUUUUAUCCUUCCUCUUAGGCAAAUCCUUCCAAAACAAAACCACCUACAGCUCCCCUGCCACCUCCUCAAAAAAUAAAAUUAGCAACUGCCUGAAUUUGAUAGGUGACAGUUAUGGGUGUUAAAAGUAACAAGUGUCAUAAUAUAGUUACAAAAAGUUAUAAACUUUAAGCACAAACAUAUGAAAAAAGAAAUGGAAAGGUUUGUUUCUCAGUAAUUCAAUAUAACUUAUUAAAAAUAAAUGAAAAAGACUAUGUUGGAGGAAGGAUAUUUCUCAACUACAGACUGCCACCAUUCAAGAUAAGAUAUUUACUUCUUUACUGUAGAUGAGAUAUGAGAGCUAGGGCUGGAGUAUGAUGUAAUAGGGCUGAGAGCACAGGUGUGUGCUCUCCUCUGAAAUACCUGGGGUCAGGGCUGGUCACAGGAACCUGGAGUAGAAAAAGCAGCUUGUAAAAUCUUUUUAUAAUAUAUAUAUAUAUAUAAAUAAAAUUAACAGUUUGGGUUGAAUUUGACUUGAGUGUCUAUUUGAGGAUUACAUUCCCUCACCCCUCCUCCCAUUAGUGUAUAAUGUGGAAUAGAGCUCUAGGGUAAAGUAAUCUGCUCCCACUGAGCAGAGAGAAGUCAAUGAAGUUGCUCUGGUGUACACGGAACAUAACAUGGCCAAAUGCGUUUCUUUUCAAGUUCAUACUAGACAUGGUACCUCACAGAAUUAAAAGGACCACUGAUGUCAGGUUUUCUUCUAGAAGUUUCUUUCCACAUUCUGAUUCCAUCCAUUGUCAUCUGUGUCUUGGGGCAGGGUUGUUGCACGGUGUUUGCUAUUCCCCCUCAUACCUUUUCUAGAGAAUACAGCAGUGUGCACUUUGCUAGUGUUGAUAUUAGAGGAAGAGCAGUUCUACAGCAUUUGGACCCAGUGCAACUAUCGCUGAGAGUCUGUCUCUGAGUGGGACCCAAGUCAGUUACGCAGAGGACAAGCCAUAGUCUCUGGAAUUCCACCCAUCUUUAAAAAGCCAAAGGAAAGAGGAAUUUCAUUUUGAUGUCCACUACUCCAGAGGUCAACUAUUUAGGACAACCU